AAAUACUCUGAUGUUUUGGCAGGAGAGCUUGCCAAGUUCAUCCCACUGGAGAAGCAUCAAGCAGCAUGUGCUGUCGCAUGGUUCUUCAAGGCCUUUCUCCCGCAAGCAUUCCCUGGAUGCCUCCUUGAGUGAUUCAAAGGAGGCAUCAACAAGUGUGCCUGCAGAGAGUGGGUCAAUGUUGGUGAACAUCCCCAGAACAACUGAGGGUGUUGGAUAUGGGAGACCGCCGGCUGUGCCAUCGUCCACUCUGGUUGAACUAACGACGAGACUAGAUUUCUUCAAAGAACGGCGGUCACAGUUGAUGGAACAACUCCACAGCCUCGAUUUAGGUCAUGGUUCCGCAUCCCAUGGUUUCCCAUACAAGCCGUCGUCUCCCUGGAACAGUCCAAGGUAGGAGGUUGCUCAGUUGUUGCAAGCUCACGUCUGUAUAUUCUCAGUAUAGAAUCUUUUUUUUUCUCUAACGUUAUCUUUGUAGAAGCUGGUAGUGAGAAUGUAUAUCCCUUUCCUUCCUACACUUGGUUUUGAGCAAUCUUUUUCGAGCGUGAUUUUGUUCUGCUUUUGUAA